rnacentral:rRNA from 1 species
UACGUAGGGGGCAAGCGUUGUCCGGAUUUAUUGGGCGUAAAGAGCGUGUAGGCGGCCAGGUAGGUCUGCUGUGAAAACUCGAGGCUUAACCUCGAGCUGUCGGCGGAAACCAUCUGGCUAGAGUCCGGAAGAGGAGAGUGGAAUUCCUGGUGUAGCGGUGAAAUGCGCAGAUAUCAGGAAGAACACCCGUGGCUAAGGCGGUUCUCUAGUACGGUACUGACGCUGAGACGCGAAAGCGUGGGGAGCGAACAGG